UAGCUCAGUCGGUAGAGCAGUUGACUUUUAAUCAAUUGGUCGCUGGUUCGAAUCCAGCACGACCCACCA
rnacentral:tRNA from 1 species